CAGUAGCCACGGGAAUACAGAGGGUGCAAGCGUUAAUCGGAAUUACUGGGCGUAAAGCGCGCGUAGGUGGUUUGUUAAGUUGGAUGUGAAAGCCCCGGUCUCAACCUGGGAACUGCAUCCAAAACUGGCAAGCUAGAGUACGGUAGAGGGUGGUGGAAUUUCCUGUGUAGCGGUGAAAUGCGUAGAUAUAGGAAGGAACACCAGUGGCGAAGGCGACCACCUGGACUGAUACUGACACUGAGGUGCGAAAGCGUGGGGAGCAAACAGGAUUAGAUACCCGAGUAGUCCCUGUCUCUUAUAC
rnacentral:rRNA from 1 species